rnacentral:rRNA from 1 species
CCCUUAGAUGUCCUGGGCCGCACGCGCGCUACACUGAGUGUCUGAGAUACGAGUCUGCCUGGUCCGGCAAGGUCUAGGUAAUCGCUAAAAGACACAUCAUGCUUGGGAUAGAUUAUUGCAAAUAUUAAUCUUGAACGAGGAAUUCCUAGUAAGCGCAAGUCAACAGCUUGCGUUGAUUACGUCCCUGCCCUUUGUACACACCGCCCGUCGCUACUACUGAUUGGAUGUUUAAGCGAGGUUCUCGAACUGCUAGCGACUUAGCUUCGGUGAGGUCGCAGUGUGGGAAGUGAACCUAGCUUUGCUGUCUAGAGGAAGUAAAAGUCGUAACA